rnacentral:rRNA from 1 species
UCCUACGGGAGGCAGCAGUGGGGAAUAUUGCACAAUGGGCGAAAGCCUGAUGCAGCGACCCCCCGUGAGGGAUGAAGGCCUUCGGGUUGUAAACCUCUUUCAGCAGGGAAGAGGCGCAAGUGACGGUACCUGCAGAAGAAGCACCGGCUAACUACGUGCCAGCAGCCGCGGUAAUACGUAGGGUGCAGCGUUGUCCGGAAUUAUUGGGCGUAAAGAGCUUGUAGGCGGUUUGUCGCGUCUGCUGUGAAAUUUCGGGGCUCAACCCCGAACUUGCAGUGGGUACGGGCAGACUAGAGUGUGGUAGGGGAGACUGGAAUUCCUGGUGUAGCGGUGAAAUGCGCAGAUAUCAGGAGGAACACCGAUGGCGAAGGCAGGUCUCUGGGCCACUACUGACGCUGAGAAGCGAAAGCAUGGGGAGCGAACAGGAUUAGAUACCCUGGUAGUCCAUGCCGUAAACGUUGGGAACUAGGUGUGGGCCUCAUUCCACGAGGUCCGUGCCGCAGCUAACGCAUUAAGUUCCCCGCCUGGGGAGUACGGCCGCAAGGCUAAAACUCAAAGGAAUUGACGGGGGCCCGCACAAGCGGCGGAGCAUGCGGAUUAAUUCGAUGCAACGCGAAGAACCUUACCAAGGCUUGACAUGUGCCGGAAAAGUGCAGAGAUGUGCUCCGCAAGUCGGUACACAGGUGGUGCAUGGUUGUCGUCAGCUCGUGUCGUGAGAUGUUGGGUUAAGUCCCGCAACGAGCGCAACCCUCGUUCUAUGUUGCCAGCACGUGAUGGUGGGGACUCAUAGGAGACUGCCGGGGUCAACUCGGAGGAAGGUGGGGAUGACGUCAAAUCAUCAUGCCCCUUAUGUCUUGGGCUUCACGCAUGCUAUACUGGCCAGUACAAAGGGCUGCGAUACCGCGAGGUGGAGCGAAUCCCAAAAAACUGGUCUCAGUUCGGAUUGGGGUCUGCAACUCGACCCCAUGAAGUCGGAGUCGCUAGUAAUCGCAGAUCAGCAACGCUGCGGUGAAUACGUUCCCGGGCCUUGUACACACCGCCAU